CUACGGGGUGCUGCAGUGGGGAAUAUUGCACAAUGGAGGAAACCCUGAUGCAGCAACGCCGCGUGGAGGAUGACACUUUUCGGAGCGUAAACUCCUUUUAUAUAGGAAGAAGAUGACGGUACUAUAUGAAUAAGCGCCGGCUAACUCCGUGCCAGCAGCCGCGGUAAUACGGAGGGCGCAAGCGUUACUCGGAAUCACUGGGCGUAAAGAGCGUGUAGGCGGAUUAAAAAGUCAGAAGUGAAAUCCUAUAGCUUAACUAUAGAACUGCUUCUGAAACUCUUAAUCUAGAAUGUGGGAGAGGUAGAUGGAAUUUCUGGUGUAGGGGUAAAAUCCGUAGAGAUCAGAAGGAAUACCGAUUGCGAAGGCGAUCUACUAGAACACUAUUGACGCUGAGACGCGAAAGCGUGGGGAGCAAACAGGAUUAGAUACCCUCGUAGUC
rnacentral:rRNA from 1 species